CCUACGGGGGGCAGCAGUGAGGAAUAUUGGUCAAUGGCCGGAAGGCUGAACCAGCCAAGCCGCGUGAAGGACGAAGGUGCCAAGCAUUGUAAACUUCUUUUGUCAAGGGACAAACUCAGGCACGAGUGCCUGACUGAGGGUACCUGAAGAAAAAGCAUCGGCUAACUCCGUGCCAGCAGCCGCGGUAAUACGGAGGAUGCGAGCGUUAUCCGGAUUUAUUGGGUUUAAAGGGUGCGUAGACGGUUUGUUAAGUCAGUUGUGAAAGUCUGCGGCUCAACCGUGGAAUUGCAGUUGAUACUGGCAGUCUUGAGUACAGGUGAGGUAGGCGGAAUGCGUGGUGUAGCGGUGAAAUGCUUAGAUAUCACGCAGAACCCCGAUUGCGAAGGCAGCUUACUAAACUGUGACUGACAUUGAGGCACGAAAGUGUGGGUAUCAAACAGGAUUAGAUACCCUGGUAGUC
rnacentral:rRNA from 1 species